rnacentral:rRNA from 1 species
UACGUAGGGUGCAAGCGUUAAUCGGAAUUACUGGGCGUAAAGCGUGCGCAGGCGGUCUUGUAAGACAGAGGUGAAAUCCCCGGGCUUAACCUGGGAACUGCCUUUGUGACUGCAAGGCUUGAGUGCGGCAGAGGGGGAUGGAAUUCCGCGUGUAGCAGUGAAAUGCGUAGAUAUGCGGAGGAACACCGAUGGCGAAGGCAAUCCCCUGGGCCUGCACUGACGCUCAUGCACGAAAGCGUGGGGAGCGAACAGG